rnacentral:rRNA from 1 species
CCGUGCGGCAGCUUACACAUGCAGUCGACGGAUCCUUCGGGAUCAGUGGCGGACGGGUGAGUAACGCGGGGAACCUACCCUGGGGUGGGGAAUAACCUUGGGAAACCGAGGCUAAUACCGCAUACGCCCUAUUUGGGGAAAGACUAUGUUGCCCUGGGAUGGGCCCGCGUCCGAUUAGCUAGUUGGUGGGGUAACGGCCUACCAAGGCUGCGAUCGGUAGCUGGUCUGAGAGGAUGAUCAGCCACACUGGGACUGAGACACGGCCCAGACUCCUACGGGAGGCAGCAGUGGGGAAUAUUGGACAAUGGGGGCAACCCUGAUCCAGCCAUGCCGCGUGAGUGAAGAAGGCCUUAGGGUUGUAAAGCUCUUUCACCCGUGACGAUGAUGACGGUAGCGGGAGAAGAAGCCCCGGCUAAUUCCGUGCCAGCAGCCGCGGUAAUACGGAAGGGGCUAGCGUUGUUCGGAAUUACUGGGCGUAAAGCGCGCGCAGGCGGGUGGCAAAGUCCGAUGUGAAAUCCCUCGGCUCAACCGAGGACGUGC